UAGGCCCCUACGCUCUGCCAGAGACCGACGUCUAACCUCUGUUCAUUCUCCUACCUCUGACGCUCACCUUAAAGACUUCUCUAGGGCUGCACUGUUCCCAUGGAACACCCUCUCUCUGUUAGACUUUCACCCAAUCUCCACUCCUUCAAAAAAUCGAUGAAAAUGUACUUCUUUAGGAAAGCAUAUCAAUUAAACUGUGAAUAGUUUUCCCUCCCCGCACCCUGAUUCUUCUCCUGAAACUG